AUCCGUCAUUUCUUCUUGUAGAUUUGAGUUAGCAUCUGAUAUCACUUCUUCCCAGCCUGAUGAUUUCUGUUAGAACUUUCUAUAAGGCUCUUCUGAGAAGGAUGCUGAACCUUCAGAUAUCAGGCCAGCAUUCCCAAAAGAAAGAAGGAAGAAUGGUGAAAGGCAAAGGAUCAAAGAAAUAGAUUCUUUCACAUCCCUGAAGAGAUUAUGAAAUCUGAUAGCCCUCCCAAGAGAUAUCAAUCAUGAUGCUACUUUGUACUUCCCCUUCUUAUUCACGUUGGUGCAGUAUGGACAAAAUGCUGGAGUUGAGCAUCACUGGAAGGAAGACUCAGUUAAAAGAAAAAAAGAAAUCAUUGUUACAUUUAAGAAGAUGGACAUGGCAUGAUUUGAUACAGAUUGGCAUGAUGAACUAUUUAAUCCCACCUUGAGAUACAUACAAAUGAUGGGAAACCAUGCAGUCAUUAAAAGGUAUGUUUUAUGAAUAAUUUUGUAAUGCAGGGAAAUGUAGUAAAAAUAAAUUAUAAUAAAAUUUGUAUAAACAACACAUUUUAACUACAACAGUAAAAUAUAUUCCUGGAAAGAAAAUUAACGAAGACUUGAAUAUGUUUCCAGGCUAUGUUAAAGGAGCCAACGUAUUAGCAGAGAUUUAAGAUAUUUUGUGAAGUAAGAUCAUGGAGAAGGCAGAAAUGUAGUCCAGAGAAAAUGCACAAAUAAAAAUUGAAUGCUUCUUUCUUCAAUAAAAGAAAGGCAAAAGAUGAGGAUGAUUGAAGAUGGAGAUGGCAUUUUAAUUGGAAAGCCAUCAUCAGAAAGACCAUCAUCUCACCAUAUUCAGAAGGUGAGAUAAGAUGAGGACCUAUGGAGGGUACAAUAUUUCAACAGCUGCUACUUGGAUUGGAAUGAAAGCUGCCCACUGACUCAAGAAAAGGCACAGUGAAGUUGGAGAAACUCCUGUUCCACCAUAAGAUCUGGUCAUAAACAUUGCUGGCUUUUCACAUGGCAGAAGAAUAAUUGUUGCAAUUCAAGGGUCAUAUACACAAAGAUCAAUACCCAGAAGGUGAGAGGAAUCAAGUUUUCAUGGUGGUCACAUCAACAUAUUGUUCUUCAUUCUAAUUAGACUGGUUCAUGUCAUACAUCAAUUUUUGAACAAGCCACUGCAACUACAGAAAUGCCAUAUGAUGAUUGGCUGAGAGCUGAAUUAUGUGUCCCUCCCAUUCAAUUUAAAUUUAUCAGUGUUUGACCUAUCCCAGACAAAGUUUCAAUUAUUUAUGUGUGCAUGAAAAAAUUUCAUCCAUCUCUACAGCUACUGUACAAGUGGCUAAAAGGUGUUUUGAUGCCCGCCAACCAAAAACCACCAAGAAUACACAUGUGAUCAAAUUUACUGAAAUAAGGAAGAUUGUUCACCAUUAAGAACACAGUAAAAGAGUAUUGGAAGGAAAAUGUUAUGGAAUAUGGGCUUGUGUUUUGUGAAUUUGGUAGGAGUUCAAGGAAGUGGAGGUUGUUUCUGGAUUGAGUGUUGUCACAAAAGAGGAGCAUUUCAAUGAAUGGCAUCUCAACAUUUUGUAUCUAGUAGGGUGUGGGGAAUAAGAUUGUUUUUAAUCUUUCUCAAGUGGAAUGAACUCUGGGAAGGUGAUAACAAAGUUUGCUAUAUUCUGUAAAUCGCUUAAGGAUAUGAACCACAUUUUAAUGAUUUUCUAAAUCACCUCUAUACCAUGUAUACAGAUUAAUAGUAGAUAUUCAGUCCAUAUAUAUUGACUUGCCCUAAAAGUUAUUCUUCAGAUGAAUCAGUGGGCCUAUGAAAUUUUGUGAGAUUUACUCAAGAUUUAACUUGAUGGAUGAAAACGCCUAUUGUUUAUAAAAUGUUAAUUUUGACAUAAAGAAUUGUAGGGACAUUCAAAAUGUUAUGACAUUUAGUACCAAAACAAAACUAAUAUAUCUGUAUUGUUAUUCACAUUUUGUGAAUGAGAAAAAAAGGGCUGAAUGAAAUUUAAUAAUUUAGCCAAUGUUAUGCAGAUAGUAUAUGACAAUAUAAGUGUUUUCCCACUAUAAACCACUAUUUCUUUAGAGAAUUAUGGACUUACAUUUUCUGAAUUUCUAGAAAUCUGGUUUUGCAAGUUUUAGCUGCAGCAAGACCCAUAGCAUAUGAUUUUUUUGUGUGUGACUUCUUUUGUUGUUGUUUUGAGACAGGGUCUCACUCUGUUGCCCAGGCUGCAGUGCAGUGCUGUGAUCAUAGCUCACUGCAGCUUCCAACCCUCUUGCCUUAGCCUUCCAAGUACGUGGGACUACAGGCUUGAGCCACUGUUUCCAGCUAGCAUAUGGUUUUCUAACCAAUAUUUAACUUCAGUUUAAUGUUGUAAACCAUACUAAAUUCAGAGUAUUCUUAAUGCAAUGGGAAAUAUUAAUCUACUAAUCAAUACCCAGCUUCCCUGCCAUUGAUGGAUUAUAAUGGAGAUCAACUUUACUUCAUUUUAAUUGAGAAAGGAAGCUGCUCUCAGCUAGAAGUUCACUAUCUAUGAAUUAGUGUCACCUCUGAGCUAUGCUGAUCAUCAAACAGAAACCAAUUAUGAAGUAUGAAGGCUCACCACUAAAACAGUGUUCAUGAGAAGUGAUCCAGUUUCUACUGAACGGUCAAGUUGAAUACAUGCAGCAAAGAUCACAAUGGAGGAACCCUUGCUCAGGUCAAAAACUUGGGAGUCAUUCUUGAAGCUUAUUCCACCUCCAAUCCAAUAAGGUGAUACUCUCGUGCCAAAAACAAAAAAAACUUUAAAAAUGCCAGGUUAUAUAUUACUUUGCAUUCAGAUGAAGCAAGCCUAUUUAUCAGAAGUAAUAAAUAACAUAAUGAUGAAGUCAUAAAAUCCAGUAAGUUCCUCAUGCAUCCUCUACAUUUCUGUUUCUG
rnacentral:lncRNA from 1 species